rnacentral:rRNA from 1 species
ACGAACGCUGGCGGCGUGCCUAAUACAUGCAAGUAGAACGCUGAAGAGAGGAGCUUGCUCUUCUUGGAUGAGUUGCGAACGGGUGAGUAACGCGUAGGUAACCUGCCUUGUAGCGGGGGAUAACUAUUGGAAACGAUAGCUAAUACCGCAUAACAAUGGAUGACACAUGUCAUUUAUUUGAAAGGGGCAAUUGCUCCACUACAAGAUGGACCUGCGUUGUAUUAGCUAGUAGGUGAGGUAACGGCUCACCUAGGCGACGAUACAUAGCCGACCUGAGAGGGUGAUCGGCCACACUGGGACUGAGACACGGCCCAGACUCCUACGGGAGGCAGCAGUAGGGAAUCUUCGGCAAUGGGGGCAACCCUGACCGAGCAACGCCGCGUGAGUGAAGAAGGUUUUCGGAUCGUAAAGCUCUGUUGUAAGUCAAGAACGAGUGUGAGAGUGGAAAGUUCACACUGUGACGGUAGCUUACCAGAAAGGGACGGCUAACUACGUGCCAGCAGCCGCGGUAAUACGUAGGUCCCGAGCGUUGUCCGGAUUUAUUGGGCGUAAAGCGAGCGCAGGCGGUUUGAUAAGUCUGAAGUUAAAGGCUGUGGCUCAACCAUAGUUCGCUUUGGAAACUGUCAAACUUGAGUGCAGAAGGGGAGAGUGGAAUUCCAUGUGUAGCGGUGAAAUGCGUAGAUAUAUGGAGGAACACCGGUGGCGAAAGCGGCUCUCUGGUCUGUAACUGACGCUGAGGCUCGAAAGCGUGGGGAGCGAACAGGAUUAGAUACCCUGGUAGUCCACGCCGUAAACGAUGAGUGCUAGGUGUUGGAUCCUUUCCGGGAUUCAGUGCCGCAGCUAACGCAUUAAGCACUCCGCCUGGGGAGUACGACCGCAAGGUUGAAACUCAAAGGAAUUGACGGGGGCCCGCACAAGCGGUGGAGCAUGUGGUUUAAUUCGAAGCAACGCGAAGAACCUUACCAGGUCUUGACAUCCCGAUGCUAUUUCUAGAGAUAGAAAGUUACUUCGGUACAUCGGUGACAGGUGGUGCAUGGUUGUCGUCAGCUCGUGUCGUGAGAUGUUGGGUUAAGUCCCGCAACGAGCGCAACCCCUAUUGUUAGUUGCCAUCAUUCAGUUGGGCACUCUAGCGAGACUGCCGGUAAUAAACCGGAGGAAGGUGGGGAUGACGUCAAAUCAUCAUGCCCCUUAUGACCUGGGCUACACACGUGCUACAAUGGUUGGUACAACGAGUUGCGAGUCGGUGACGGCAAGCUAAUCUCUUAAAGCCAAUCUCAGUUCGGAUUGUAGGCUGCAACUCGCCUACAUGAAGUCGGAAUCGCUAGUAAUCGCGGAUCAGCACGCCGCGGUGAAUACGUUCCCGGGCCUUGUACACACCACCCGUCACACCACGAGAGUUUGUAACACCCGAAGUCGGUGAGGUAACCUUUUGGAGCCAGCCGCCUAAGGUGGGAUAGAUGAUUGGGGUG